GACAGAGGGGGCAAGCGUUGCUCGGAAUCACUGGGCGUAAAGGGCGCGUAGGCGGCCGAUCAAGUCGGAGGUGAAAUCCCUCGGCUCAACUGAGGAAUUGCCUUCGAUACUGUUCGGCUUGAGUCCUGGAGAGGGUAGCGGAAUUCCCGGUGUAGCGGUGAAAUGCGUAGAGACCGGGAAGAACACCAGUGGCGAAGGCGGCUACCUGGACAGGUACUGACGCUGAAGCGCGAAAGCUAGGGGAGCAAACAGG
rnacentral:rRNA from 1 species